rnacentral:rRNA from 1 species
CAGUCGAGCGGAAAGGCCCUUCGGGGUACUCGAGNNNNNNACGGGUGAGUAACACGUGAGCAACCUGCCCUUAGCUUCGGGAUAGCUCCGGGAAACCGGAAUUAAUACCGAAUAUGACUGCGGCUGACAUCAGCCAUGGUGAAAAGUUUUUCGGCUAGGGAUGGACUCGCGGCCUAUCAGCCAGUUGGUGAGGUAACGGCCCACCAAGGCGACGACGGGUAGCCGGCCUGAGAGGGCGACCGGCCACACUGGGACUGAGACACGGCCCAGACUCCUACGGGAGGCAGCAGUGGGGAAUAUUGGACAAUGGGCGCAAGCCUGAUCCAGCCAUGCCGCGUGAGUGAUGAAGGCCCUAGGGUUGUAAAGCUCUUUUGUGCGGGAAGAUAAUGACGGUACCGCAAGAAUAAGCCCCGGCUAACUUCGUGCCAGCAGCCGCG